AGCUGCUAAAAGUCCUUUUCACAACAGGAGCAGGAUAGAAUCCAAGGAGAGGCCAGGAGAGGAUGGCCGCCCCACUACCAACCCUGGAGUAAUAAACAGAGCAUUCCCGCUGGAGCGCCCAGAUUGGAAUUACAACGAGGCUGAAGGUAGGGAGCAUUUCUGGGUCUAUCGCCAGAUUAUCAUGACUGGUCUCCGGGCAGCGGCACGCAAGCCAACUAACCUGGCAAAGGUAGGCGAUGUCAGGGGCCUGAGGAAAGCCCGGCCGCCUACUUAGAGAAUUAUGGAAGCCUUUAGGAUAUAGGCCCCCAUGGAUCCUACCUCUGAGGAGAGUAAGGCUGCAGUGGUGAUGGCUUUUGUGAAUCGGGCAGCCCCACAUAUUAGAAAGAAGGUGCAAAAGAUAGACAGAUUGGGUGAGAAGGCAUUGCAAGAUUUAAUUGAAGUAGCUGAGAAAGUUUUCAACAACUGGGAAACUCCGGAAGAACAGUGCGAAAGAGUUAGAAGGGAAGAUAGAAAGUUCCAGGCCGGGGAACCCUGGAAGGCUAGUCGAGAGAUGGCCCGUAUUCUGCUAGCAGCCACGGAGCAUGAAAGACAGAGAAGGGAACAGGAACGCCUCGCAGGGAGAGACUAGACAGAGAUCAGUGCGCGUAUUGUAAGAAGGGACACUGGGCCAGGGAAUGUGAGGAAAAAAGAAGGCCUCUUUUAAAAGAAAGUAUAACAAGGUCCCAGGGGGGGAUGAUAGGAAGACUAAGCAGGGUUUGUUAGUUGGGCAGGAGGACAGUGAUUAGGGAGUUCGGGGUUCGGUUCCCCUCCCUGAGCCCAGGGUAACCUUACUUUUCGACAGGAGACCAAUAGACUUCCUGGUGGAUAGCGGAGCAGAGCACUACGUGAUCACACAUUCCACUGGCAAAUUAGCCGCUAGAACCAGCUGGGUGCAGGGUGCAACCAGAACAAAACCCUAUCAAUGGAUGACCCGGUGUAAGCUGGAUCUGGGGACAGGCCAGGUGAGCCAGGCUUUCAUGAUGAUUCCUGAAUGCCCAACCCCCUUGCUAGGAAGAGACAUCUUAACCAAGUUAAAAGCUCAAAUCCAUUUAGAAGAAAAACAAGUAACUGUCACAGACAGUCUUGGGCGACCCAUUGGGAGAGACCAAAAGAAAUUCCCGCUAGAACACCCCCCCACCCCACGGUUCUUCACGUCCUUACCCUGCAGCGGGCCAAUGAGUCUAGACUGAGCCUGUAAAAUAUAGUGAGAACAAAGAACUGCAUGGUGGCUCCAAGAAUUCCCAGAGGCCUGGGCGGAGAUGGGUGGAACUGGGUGGGCCAAACACAGGCCACCUGUAUUCACUGAACUGAAACCAGGGGCCAAGCCAGUCCGUGUCCGUCAGUACCCCAUGGCUCUUCAGGCACGAGAAGGAAUCCGGCCCCACAUUCGCCAACUUUUAAAGAAGGAAUUUUGCGAAAGUGUCAGUAGGCCUGGAACACCCCCUUAUUGCCGUUAAGAAAAAUGGGCACCGGGGACUACAGGCCGGUCCAAGACUUAUGGGAAGUUAACAACCGUGAGCUAGACAUCCACUCUACAGUACCUAACCCCUACACCUUAUUAAGCUCCUUGCCUCCCCCUCAAACCUGGUACACCAUGUUAGACCAGAAGGAUGCCUUUUUCAGCAUACCGGUGGCCUCAUGCAGCCAGGAGCUUUUUGCUUUUGAGUGGCAGGAUGAUGAGCUGGAAAUCCAGGGCCAGGCUACCUGGGCGCGCUUGGUUCAGUUUUAAAAAUUCGCCUGUAAUCUUCAAUGAAGCCCUCCACAAAGAUCUGAGUGAGUACCGAUCCAGCCACCCCCAUAGUACCUUGUUGCAAUAUGUAGAUGAUUUGUUACUUUCAGCCCCUUCCCCCACUGACUUGCUAAGAACCUUGGGAAGGCUGGGAUAUCGUGUAAGUGCAAAAAAGGCCCAACUUGGCAGGGAAGAAGUCACAUAUCUGGGAUAUAAACUGAGGUGGGCGCAAAGGUGGCUAACCGAGGCCAUGAAAAAGACUGUGUUAAAUAUACCCCCUCCUACCUCAUGCCGGCAAGUCCAAGAAUUCUUGGGGUCGGUAGGAUAUUGCCGCUUGUGGAUCCCUGGGUUUGCAGAAAAGGCCAGACCUCUAUAUGAAGGAUGUAAAAGUGGUCAGGAUUUUGUAUGGACUGGGUUCCAGGCCUUAAAAGCCGCGAUGCUGAAGGCUCCUGCCUUAGCCCUUCCAGAUCCGGAAAAAGAAUUUCAGCUAUUUGUAGAUGAGAAGCAAGGAGUGGCGAAAGGGGUGCUCACCCAAAGACUGGGACCGUGGAAAAGACUGGUAGCAUACUUAUCAAAACAACUCGAUCCUGUAGCUGGGGAUGGCUGGCAUGCCUCCACAGAAUAGCGGCUACAGCAUCAUUAGUAAAAGAUGCAGAUAAGCUGUCACUGGGGCAGCCCUUAGAAAUUACCACUCCCCAUGCGGUCGAGGGACUCAUAAAGCAACCCCCAGGAUGCUGGAUUACGAACACGAGACUGCCCCAUUAUCAAGGGCUGUUGCUAAAUGACCCCCGAAUUAUUUUUACCUCACCUACGAAUUUAAACCCAGCGACGCUCGUGCCAGAUACAACGCCCUGGAAGCCAGAGCAUGACUGCCAGGAAAUCCUGGCUGACGUCCAAAUGGUACGAAAAGACCUCAAAGACCAGCGCCUCCCAAACAGUGAUCUGGUGUAGUUUACAGAUGGAAGUAGUUUCGCUAAGGAGGGUAGGCGCCAUGCGGGAGCUGUGAUCAUAGAUGCACAGGGAACCCUAAUUUGGGCAUCCCAGCUCCCUCCUGGUACCUCAGCCCAAAAAGCAGAGAUAGUGGCAGUGACCAAGGCUCUCUGGCAUGUGAAGGGAAAAACACUCAUGCUGAUUACAGCCGUUAUUCGUUCGCGACGAUUCAUAUUACAGUGGUGCUAUAACGGGAGAGGAUUUGUCACAGCAGAAGGGAAAAAAAGAACAAGCCCGAGAUUUUGCAGCUGCUAGACGCCGUCAUGUUACCAAAGGCAGUAGCGGUAGUACACAUGCCUGGCCACCAGAGGGGGAACUCCCUGGAGGCCCGAGGAAACCGGGCAGCAGAUCUAGAGGUGCGGCGGACAAAUGGACCCGAGCGGGCGGAAGUCUUACAUUUGGGCCUGCCCCCCCACCCCCCACCCAUGGGAAAAAUACCUCCGCGACCGGAGUAUUCCAAUACAGAUUGGGUCUGGGCGGAAAAGGAGCUAAAGGCAAAGACGAAAGCGGCUGGCUGAGGGACAACGAAAAUUACUCGAUAGAAAUCGCGUGUUAAAGCAUCUACGCCAAACCACGCACCUGGGGAAAGGAAAAAUGUUGCAACUAUCGGAUCCGGCUGCCUCAAGUUCCAGCUGCAGAGAAAAGCGGUGGAGAAUGUUGCGGAGGCCUGCCAGGUUAUGAAACCGGGAAAAACCAAGGGAACCCACACAGGUACUCGGGAUCGGGGAAGGAAACCAGGGUUGUUUUGGGAAAUAGAUUUUACUGAAGUAAAGCCAGGGAAGUAUGGGUAUAAAUACUUGCUAGUAAUGGUAGAUACCUUCUCAGGGUGGGUGGAAGCGUUUCCAACAAAAAAGGAAACUGCAGUGGUGGUGGCAAAGAAACUCCUAGAAGAAGUUGUCCCUAGGAAUGGGUUUCCAGAAAGCAUAGGAUGUGACAACGGUCCGGCUCUUGUAAGCAACGUCAGCCAGAGCGCUGGGGACUGAUUGGACAUUGCAUUGUGCUGACAAUCCCCAAAGCUCUGGAGAGGUAGAAAGAUUGAACAGAACUUUGAAGGAGACUCUAGCCAAAUUGUGCCUAGAGACUGGCGGGGACUGGGUGACCCCCCUUCCCUUCGCCCUGUUCCGAGCCCGAACGCGCCGUAUCACCUGGGCUUGACCCCCUUCGAAAUUAUGUAGGGAUCCCCUCUGCCAGUAAUUCCAAGCAUAUAUCCACUGCCGGAAGGAGGCCCGGGGGAGGGAUUACAGGACCAAAUAUGGCCCGCUCGUCAGACCGUCUAUAAAAAUAAACAGGAAGGCCAUCAGGGGGGUCCCCUUUCACCAGCACGAGCACGGGGACUGGGUCAAGCAACAUAAUAAGUCCCUAGAACCUAGGUGGAAGGGCCCCUUUCAAGUAAUUCUUGUUACCCCCACUGCUCUUAAGGUCGACGGAGUAGAACCUGGAUUCACCACUCUCACGGCUUUCCAGCAGGAACGAGAGAGCUGCAGCAGGAUCACUGGAAAGCAGAGGCUCAUCCAGAAAAUCCCCUAAAAGUGAAGCUCACCCACAUAAGGCCUAAAACCAACCAGUAGGGAGAUGGCCGGCAGCCGACUGCUGGUGGUGGCGGCCUUUUGGUUCUGGGUGCAGUGCCAAGUAGGACAUACCCGGAAACUGAGGCUAGCCAACCCGGGAGCAGCAAGACGAGCCCAACCCCAAAGGGAGGACAACCCGGCCAGCGCGGGAACUACACAAAGGACCAGACGGCCAACCUACCUCAAGUGAGCCAAUCAGUGGAUUGACGGGAGGGGGCCUGGGAACGCCCCAUUACGUAUACCUUGUAAAUAAAUACUUUGGAAUUUCUUUCGUUCGAGGCUCCAGCCCAAGAUGGUGCGCGUGUGAAGCACCUAAGGACUAGAGCCCUGGCUUAAACUAGCACAAUAAAAGCCUCUUUGUAAUAGCA